UACGGGGGGGGCAAGCGUUGUUCGGAAUUACUGGGCGUAAAGGGCUCGUAGGCGGCCAACUAAGUCAGACGUGAAAUCCCUCGGCUUAACCGGGGAACUGCGUCUGAUACUGGAUGGCUUGAGUUUGGGAGAGGGAUGCGGAAUUCCAGGUGUAGCGGUGAAAUGCGUAGAUAUCUGGAGGACACCGGUGGCGAAGGCGGCAUCCUGGACCAACACUGACGCUGAUGAGCGAAAGCCAGGGGAGCAAACGGG
rnacentral:rRNA from 1 species